rnacentral:rRNA from 1 species
UGAACCUGCGGAAGGAUCAUUACCGAGUUGUCGAGCUCCGGCUCGACUCUCCCACCCUUUGUGAACGUACCUCUGUUGCUUUGGCGGCUCCGGCCGCCAAAGGACCUUCAAACUCCAGUCAGUAAACGCAGACGUCUGAUAAACAAGUUAAUAAACUAAAACUUUCAACAACGGAUCUCUUGGUUCUGGCAUCGAUGAAGAACGCAGCGAAAUGCGAUAAGUAAUGUGAAUUGCAGAAUUCAGUGAAUCAUCGAAUCUUUGAACGCACAUUGCGCCCCUUGGUAUUCCGGGGGGCAUGCCUGUUCGAGCGUCAUUACAACCCUCAAGCUCUGCUUGGAAUUGGGCACCGUCCUCACUGCGGACGCGCCUCAAAGACCUCGGCGGUGGCUGUUCAGCCCUCAAGCGUAGUAGAAUACACCUCGCUUUGGAGCGGUUGGCGUCGCCCGCCGGACGAACCUUCUGAACUUUUCUCAAGGUGACCUCGGAUCAUGUACGUAAACCCCCUGAACUUAAGCAUAUCAAUAAGCGGAGGA